rnacentral:rRNA from 1 species
UACAGAGGUCUCAAGCGUUGUUCGGAUUCAUUGGGCGUAAAGGGUGCGUAGGCGGCGCGGUAAGUCGGGUGUGAAAUCAUCGGAGCUUAACUCCGAAACUGCAUUCGAUACUGCCGUGCUUGAGGACUGGAGAGGAGACGUGGAAUUUGACGGAUGUAGCGGUGAAAUGCGUAGAUAUCGUAAGGAAGACCAGGUGCGAAGGCGGGU